AAAAACCCUUUGAGCCAUAAAAGUCUUGAAUUAAUUGAAAAAUUCAACAAAAUUGACUCAUUGCAAAUGUUUUCUUCAAAGCAAACACAAGCCAAUUUUGUUGAAACAAAAAAAAAUGAAGAAAAUUCUUGAAAGGAAAGAAAUAAAUGUUUAAAGUUGGGGAAAUUUUUUAGUUGAAUGAAAUAAGAAAAAGAAAAAUGUUAAAAAUGGGCCA
rnacentral:lncRNA from 1 species